GGGCCCGGUGAAGAGCGCCCCCAGCAGGCGGGCGGGAAAAGAGGGAAGAGGGCAGUUCAGCAGUGCCGGGGGUCCUGCAGCCGGGGUUUGUCGCAGGUGCCAGGUUUUGGAGGCGGAGAUCGGCGGAGUUGCGGAGAGGAGCUGCGGUGGGGCUUCAGAAAAACGGGCACGUCACCGCUUAUUGCUCCGUAGUGCGUUUUUCCUGAUCGCCUCCGGAGAAGCUGCAGGUCGAGCUGCGCUUACGUGUAAUUCUUAUCAUUGAGGCAUUACACGCUUAACUGUGAGUGCGGCUCAGCUACCGCUCUCGAGGCUGGAUUAGCGAGAACAAAACUGUGCAAUACAUAAUUUUAGAUGUUUUCCUAUUGCGCAACGCUCCGGUGCUCUGUGGCAGGACAGGAGGGAUCGGACCUUGGCAGCCCUUCCAGCGGCGGCUCCGUUCCGUGCCGUGCCGCUUCCCUGGCCCCGAGGGGCAGCUCCUAGCCGAGUGCGCUUGCAGACGGUCUUGUUCGAAGGCUUUUCUGUGUCUUGCUCUGAGCAGUUUUCGGUAUGGAAGUGACAUUGUAACUUAAUCCAUUUUCUUAUUAAGAUGGUUUAUUCAAAUCUGGUUUUAAUAUCGUUCUGUUGUGAUUUAACCGCGGGGGACUAGGUUCUCUUUUCAGUGAGGUCAUUGUAAAUCUAGAAUAACAACACCAGAAUGACUUCAUCAUUUACAUUCUGCAUUGUAAAAUCUGCAUCUUUUGUUUGUAUUUGUAAGAGGAGGGAGAAAAGUCUAUUUGUGUAAUGGGUACUAUUGGUAACAGGAAAUGUAACCAACUGGAAGUCACUUAAAAAAUUACGGACAUUUCUCAGAUUCUUUCAAGUAUAAGCAGUAAAUAUUUAAAGCUUAUUAGUGAUUAACACUGUGUGUGUUCUCACAUUUGCAUGCUUCAAUAUGGUUUAGCGACCACAAAAUGGAAAUUUGAUGGCAAAACUGUAUACACAGAAGUUAUUUAGAAAUGGCUGUGGUGUGUGAUGUAGAACAACAAAUGGAAAUGCAUGUUACACAUUUAUUAGUCAUUCCUUGUUCUAUUAUUAUAGAUACUUUGCAUCAGUCACUUUCAAAUCUGCCAGUCAUGCUAUCCAGUAUAUCAAGUCAGUAAAUGCGGAGAGACAUAAACCCAUAUAGGUAAAAACCCUUAAAGUACACACCAAAAAACAUCUCUUUAUGUUGUGAGAAGGAAUAAGAUUUUGGUACACUUCAGAAGGUUUCCUUCCAUUCAAUUUUACUGUUGACAAAAUCCAUUCAGCCUGAUUCUUCUGUACUCUCACAAGUCAAGUUUCCACUGACGUCAACAGGAGUACCAUAUAAAGGACAAGUACAGGAUUAAACAUGACACGAUGUUUGGCAUGGUAGGCUUCCUAAAAGAUCUUAGGGCUCUUACCAGGGAAAUUUUAAGCCACCAGCAUCACCAAGGGACUGGGAUUUUUUUUUUUUUUAAUCUUCAUUUUCUUAUCAGUAAAUGUGGUGCAUGCUAAGCAUGCAGACAUACAUCUCCGAAUAGAAAGUCCCAUGCUCUUGAAAUCAAAUACCUAUUUUCCUUGAUCAUUCAGCAGUACUUGCAGGCUUGAGCCCCUGCCAAAGGACUAAUGAGAGUCUGGCAUUGACUUGGGCUUGUUGAUUCCAGCCUCUUUCUUUUCUCCCACCCGCAUCAGACUCAUAAUCUGUGACUGUGGCUCUGUGGCAGAAUGCAGUGCCUCAGGCAAAGCCAUAAGCUAGCCCCAAGAGGAAGGUGGAUACUAGAAAUGGUACAAUCUAUCACAUUGCACAUGGGUGAAGCUGCAAGGCAUGUUAGCAACAGCAAAAGGGAAAAAACACAUCAGCUCGGUGCCUGCAGCAGUUCAGGCUUCUCACAGAAAUCCAAACUACUCUCCACGAGGCUGCUCCUCUCUGCCCAGUUGUGAUGAGGUCAGUGGAAUGACGCCCACCACUGAGGCCUACUUGCAUGUACAGAAUGUGUAGGAGCAGUUCCUAAAGCACGUGGUCACAAAUCCUGUGGCAACAGAAUAUUAUAAAUGCAUUUCAAGCAAUACAAAUAAAGGGAACAGAUUAGAUAAUUACUGUAGCCAUUUGAUUACUCAUGACUGACAUUAACAUUUUGGGUAGAAAAGAUGCCAGUGCAAUCUUGUCUCUCUUUUCUGUCACUACCGGUGCCGCAUACUGUGAAGGUUUUUAGAAUUUAAUAAAAGCAGAUGCUAUUCUUCAUCUCUCCUCAAUUUCUUAGAGUCAGAUCACAUCCAAAUGUGGUAAACAAAUUGGUGUUUCUAGAUUUGAUGGUACUUCUGAAUCAUAUUAAAUACAAACAGAAGCAGCAUCAAUAGCUUCAGUAAGUGCAAACUCUUCAUUUACUCAGAUACCUCCAUGCUGUUUGUGGUACUCAUUCAUGGGCAAAUGA
ensembl:lncRNA